AGCAGCCGCGGUAAUUCCAGCUCCAAUAGCGUAUAUUAAAGUUGUUGCAGUUAAAAAGCUCGUAGUUGAAUUUCGGGGUUAGUAGAUUGGUCAUGCCUCUGGUAUGCACUGGUCUCACUGAUUCCUCCUUCCUGAUGAGCCGUAAUGCCAUUAAUUUGGUGUUGCGGGGAAUUUGGACUGUUACUUUGAAAAAAUUAGAGUGUUUAAAGCAAGCUAACGCUUGAAUACAUUAGCAUGGAAUAAUGAAAUAGGACGUUCGAUCCUAUUUUGUUGGUUUCUAGGAUUGACGUAAUGAUUAAUAGGGAUAGUUGGGGGCAUUAGUAUUCAAUUGUCAGAGGUGAAAUUCUUGGAUUUAUUGAAGACUAACUACUGCGAAAGCAUUUGCCAAGGAUGUUUUCAUUAAUCAAGAACGAAAGUUAGGGGAUCGAAGACGAUCAGAUACCGUCGUAGUCUUAACCAUAAACUAUGCCGACUAGGGAUCGGAUGAUGUUAAUUUUUUAAUGACUCAUUCGGCGCCUUA
rnacentral:rRNA from 1 species